AUGGAGACGCUAAUGGCGGCCGAGCUGCCGCAGCAGAAGGCGGGGGGGCUCGCGCGGAGGCUUGCGAGGCUCCUCCGCCUCAAGCGCUCGCCGGCGGGGUCGGGCGUGGCGUAUUCUGCGGCCAGCGAUGUGUACGACGAGUCCCUCGACAGCUCCAUCAACUCGCUCAGCCAGCUCAAGCUCUCUGGGAACAUGGCUGCCGCCUACUCCCUCGACGCGUUCUUCAAGACUGCCGCCAAGAAGAAGGGCGCGCCGCGCCAGUCUCCGGUGCCGGCGGCGGACGCGCAUGCGUUUGUCGCGAGCCUUUUCGUCGGGGUUUCCGCGGUGAAGGCGUCGUACGCUCAGCUGCAGCUCGCCCAGCACCCCUACGACGCCGAGGCGAUACAGUCGGCGGACGCCGCGUUGGUCGUGGAGCUCGGCAAGCUCUUGGACCACAGGAGGCAGUACGUCAGGGACCCGGUCGGCGCCGCCAAGAACGCGGAGGCGGGCCCCGCCGCAAUCGCCAACGAGAAGCGCCACCUCAUUCGGACCUAUGAGAUCACGGCGCGCAAGCUGGAGACGGAGCUGCGCGCGCGGGACGCCGAAGCGCAGCGCGCCAGGGGCGAGCUCGCCGACGAGCUCCACGCCGCGCGCGCACUGGAGGAGCGUGUUCACCCCGGUCGCACGCUCGCCACGCUCGACGACCUCCACUUCUCCGGCCUCAACGCCACUCACUUCCUCACCGCGUUGCGCCUCGCCGUCAAGUCCGUCCGCUCCUUCGCCAGGUCAAUGCUCGACGAAAUGCGGCUAGCCGGCUGGGAUCCCGCUGCGGCCGCUGGUGCGGUGCACCCGAGCAUCCCGUUGCGCCAUGCCGGCGACGCCAAGUUCGCGCUCGAGUCCUACAUCACGCUGAAGAUGUUCACAAACUUCCACCGGAGAGACUUCGGCCUGAGCCAUUUGCAGGAACGGGGCUCGUACGACCGGCGCCGCUUCUUCGAAGAGUUCGCCGAGCUCAAGACAGUGCCGGCUUCCACGCUCCUUGACGCGGGGAGCUCACGGUGGAGCGCGCUCGGCAAGUUCUUGCGGGACAGGUACUUGUCUGUAGUUCACGAGCGGAUGGAAACGGCGUUCUUCGGAAGGCCAGUGCAGCGCGCCCUGGUGAGCGCCGGGGCGGCGUUCCCGGAGACGGCGUGGUUUGCCGAGUUCGCCGAGAUGGCGCGCCGCGUCUGGCUACUGCAUUGCCUGUUCUUCGCGUUCGACCGCGGCGACGACGGCGCGUCCAUCUUCCAGGCACGGGCUGGUGACCGGUUCUCGGAGGUCUAUAUGGAGAGCGUAAGUGACAUGGACGGGGAAGACGGUGCCGGCAUGGCACUGGCUCUGGCCGGGAACCGCGUCGUCGGGUUCACCGUUGUGCCGGGGUUCAUAGUCGGGCGGUCAGUGAUGCAAUCCCGAGUAUACCUCUCGCGCCCCGCGCGACAUACGUGA
rnacentral:rRNA from 1 species